UUUACUGAAGUCCAAUGAAAGUGACGUAACGGCCCAUAUAAAUUUGACGUCGCUAGAUUAUGACGUUCUUCUUGGAGACGAUUCUUUAGCGGUCGCAUUCCCUUCUCAACAUGAGGGCGAAGUGGAGAAAGAAGCGCAUGCGCAGGCUGAAGCGUAAAAGGAGAAAGAUGAGGCAGAGGUCCAAGUAAACCGUUGUCUCCGCCAUGGCUGUGAAGGCACAUGUUGCCAGCAAACCAGGCCGGCGAGCACAGCUGAAGACCCAGGACCCUCCCGUUGUCAAGUCUGUCAGUGGUGCCCAUUUCAACCUGAGGCAACAGAGCUGCAGCAGCUGAUUCAGGACCUGCUGGAUGACGGACCUUAUUUUCGGGAUAUACUGGACUCAUUGUUCUUAAUUCCUCAACUUUUGUCUUUUGUUUAUACUGUGAUUAAAGGUUUUGGUUUCUAAAACUGCAGAUCUCGUUUUUUUUGUUUUAAAACUAGCAUUUUCAAACGUGUGUGUGUCCCCAAUGAGCACAUUUCAAGACCGGAAGCUGAUGUGGACAUCAGGUUUUAGAAGAGGUAUAACGUUUUUGAUUCCCUAUCUAGAAGGUCCAGCUUCUGACAAAACUGAUCCUGUCAGUCAUAGCAUCAGUGUACUUGGAUAAGAACUGAUGUGUCCAUGCAAAGUUCCAUCAUCUUUAACUUUGAAUUCUGAUCCUUUCUGUUUUCUCAACUCUCCUGGAGGUGCUGAUGUGUGUGCUGGCAGAGCUCCAAGAGCCUGUCUCACUGACCUUAAUUAAGUGGAGGAGGAUGUAAACAAAUAUAAGACUCAUCAUC